AUCCAUCUGACGAGUCCCAGAUAGGACGAAACGGGUAUCCUGGAU
rfam:Schistosoma mattheei strain Denwood, Zambia genome assembly, scaffold: SMTD_scaffold0023957